GCUGCUGCUGCUAUUAAGCUUAGCAGCUGACAUCACAGAGGAUGACUGAACACUGAAGAUGUCAUCCAGCCACAUCCAGGCAGGCAGGCAGGCAGGCAGGCAGGCAGGCAGGCAGGCAGGCAGGCAGGCAGGCAGGCAGGAAGGCAACUACUGCUGCUGCUGCUGCUGCUGCUGCUAUUAAGCUUAACCGCUGACAUCACAGAGGAUGAUGGUAGGUUUAAGAUGUCAUCCAUUUACAGUCAGUCAGGCAGGCAGGCAGGCAGGCAUGCAGGCAGGCAGGCAGGCAGGCAGGUUGCUGCUGCUGCUGCUAUUAAGCUUAACCGCUGACAUCACAAAGGUUGAUGGAAGGUUGAAGAUGUCAUCCAGCCACAGUCAGGCAGGCAGGCUGCAAUGCUCACGCAGGGCUUCGAGCUUACAUCCAGCAGCCUCCCCUGCCCUCUGGGACGGCCAGGCUUAAGCCCCCCUCAUUGCACCGCCUG